rnacentral:rRNA from 1 species
GACGAACGCUGGCGGCGUGCUUAACACAUGCAAGUCGAACGGAAAGGCCCUUCUUUUGUGGGUUGCUCGAGUGGCGAACGGGUGAGUAACACGUGAGUAACCUGCCCUUGACUUUUGUAUAACUUCAGGAAACUGGGGCUAAUACCGGAUAGGAGCUCCUGCUUCAUGGUGGUGGUUGGACAGUUUCGGCGGUUGGGUAUGGACUCGCGGCUUAUCAGCUUGUUGGUGGGGUAGUGGCUUACCAAGGCUUGGACGGGUAGCCGGCCUGAGAGGGUGACCGGCAACAUUGGGACUGAGAUACGGCCCAGAAUCCUACGGGAGGCAGCAGUGGGGAAUAGUGCAAAAUGGGCGGAAGCCGGAUGCAGCAAAGCCGCGUGCGGGAUGACGGCCUUCGGGUUGUAAACCGCUUUCGCCUGUGACGAAGCGUGAGUGACGGUAAUGGGUAAAGAAGCACCGGCUAACUACGUG